rnacentral:hammerhead_ribozyme from 1 species
AUCCGGGAGGAGUCCCAAAUAGGACGAAACACGCGUCAUACUGGAU